CCGCGGGGCCCGGGGACGCGGCGGGCACGGCGGGGACGGGGGCGAGCGGGAUCCGCCGUCCCUGAGGGAGAGUGCCCGACGGCUUGGAGUUGUGCUGUCACUCUGCUGCUGUGCAAAAACGGGGCACAGUAACUAUGAUGUGCUAAGGAACACCAGGGCUCAGGGAAAAUCUGUGAUGUUGUCCUAGGGAUGUGAGCUAAAAUUUCCUAAAAGUGACAUGUGUUGACAUAUCUCUUUUGGCUCUAAGUCAGGCCAUGGGUUUGGAUUAGUGCACUGUGAGAACUAGAAUCCAAAAAAAUAUCCUGUUGUCCAUCUUAACCAUCAAAAUCACUACUCAUCUUUGUAUCAUCACUUUCCAGUUCACAAAAGAAAUUACGUUUCUCAGAUGGGCUUGCCUAAAUACUUUUUACAGUUUAUUUGCAGAGCUACCAUCCUGAUUCUCCAUGUCACUGAUGUCAAGCAGCUCUCCUGGAAGCCUUCAAGGACAACAGAAAAUAACUUAUGACAAUUAGACUAAAUAGCAGAAAUGAACUAUUUUAAUCCUUCACUCUAAGGACAAAAACACAUGCUGCACUACAGCUGUGAACUCAGUAACUCAGGAAGUUGGCUGGGGGCAGACAGGAAGCUGGGAGGGAACCAGCAGAGCAGUUGACCUGAAGUGGCCAAAGGGAUGGUCCAUACCAUAUGGUACCAUGCUCAGCAAUAAGAACUGAGGUGGAAGGCAAAGAAGGGGAGAUUGUCUUCCAAGGUGUCUCCUGAUUUGACAUCAGUCUGCUUGUGAGAGGUGGUGAAUGAUUGCCUGUGCAUGGGACAUCACAUCUCUUUCCUUCACGUAUUAAAUUUGUUUUUACCUCA